ACACUCAUCCCUUGAGUCUCUCUGUAAUUGGGUGGGCUAAACUCAACUCUCUCCCAGACGGAAUUCAAUGCUUCAUUGCCCUUAAAAAUCUGAGAAUAUGGAAAUUUGAUAGAAUGAAAGCUUUGCCUGAAUUUUUGGGAAACCUUUCUUCUCUUCAAUGGCUGUAUCUUAGACAAUGUAAAAACUUAAUGUAUCUGCCCACAGCACAAGCCAUGCAACGCCUUACCAGACUACAAGUUCUAGAGAUUCGUCAGUGCCCCAAAUUAAAGGAAGUAUGUGCAAAUGUAAGCGGCACAAUGCGGCCCAAAAUUGCCCAUAUUCCAUAUAUCAAAAUUGAUGGAGAUUGUAUCAAAAGCUGAAGAUGAUAUGCGAUAUUAAGUCAGAUGAUUGGUAAGCUUUUACUGGAUCAUAUGCAUUGGGUGUUAGUGAAGUUAUAUGAUCUCCAGUUCUACCAGUGCAAGUAAACCUCAACUCACAUUCUUAUGAAGUUCCAGCCAGCAUUGAAGGUGUUGAUGGUUCUAAAUUUAUUUAUAUAUGGUUUUUAGAUUUUGGAGAUUGACCAUAUAUAUCUUAAAUCUUUAAGGCAUGAAGCUCACAAGAAAUAACCUACUUGACGACAACUGAUGCUGGGGCGCUUUAUGCAAUUAAUAGUUUUUGGAUUUCGGAACCAUGUGUCAACAACAACCUCCCUUUGCCUGCAUUGAGGAGAUGAAAUAGGGCUUAGAACCCUGCCGUGAAGCUCUUGUUGAAAUCAAAGAGUACUGAUUCGUGACUUAAAUGGUGAAAUUCUUUGCUUUAUAGCUUUAUUGGAAUGUAUAUAUACCGUUUCUAUAGCUUGAUGAGGGGUAUGGGUUUAUUGGGCUCAGUGGGUUUAUUGGGAUUAUUGGGGUUGCUGCGCUGUGAAUGCAUUUAUACCACAGGUUAGAAGAAAAAAUGGAUAAUAUUACGGAUAUGUUGAGUUUAAUAUUGCUUUAAAAUUUUUAUAUGAUACAAUGGAUGAUUAGUAAAA